GUAGGUGGCAAGCGUUGUCCGGAAUUAUUGGGCGUAAAGCGCGCGCAGGCGGUUCUUUAAGUCUGAUGUGAAAGCCCACGGGCUCAACCGUGGAGGGUCAUUGGAAACUGGAGAACUUGAGUACAGAAGAGGAAAGCGGAAUUCCACGUGUAGCGGUGAAAUGCGUAGAGAUGUGGAGGAACACCAGUGGCGAAGGCGGCCUUCUGGUCUGUAACUGACGCUGAGGCGCGAAAGCGUGGGGAGCAAACAGGAUUAGAUACCCUGGUAGUCCACGCCGUAAACGGUGAGUGCUAAGUGUUAGGGGGUUUCCGCCCCUUAGUGCUGCAGCUAACGCAUUAAGCACUCCGCCUGGGGAGUACGGCCGCAAAGGCUG
rnacentral:rRNA from 1 species